GGUAAAAUGAGGCUGAGACCUACUGGGCUGCAUUCCCAGAAAGUUAAGGCAUUCUAAGUCACAGGAUGAGACAGGAGGUUGGCACAAGACACAGGUCAUGAAGACCUUGCUGAUAAAACUGUUGCAGUAAAGAAGCCGGCUCUAACCCUCCAAAAACCAAGAUGGCCACUAGAGUGACCUCUGGUCCUCCUCACUGCUACACUCCCACCAGCGCCAUGACAGUUUAUAAAACAAAAAACAAAAAACAAAAACGAAGACUUUGGUGAAAACAUGUUAGAGAAACAGACAAAGGGGACUAUUUUCUUUCAUGCUGAUUCCCUAAAUUUUUUUUUUUUGAGAGAAAGUCUCUGUCGCCCAGGCUGGAGUGCAGUGGUGCUAUCUCGGUUCACUACAACUUCUGCUCCCUGGGUUCAAGCAAUUCUUGUUAAAGAUACAAAAAAAAAAAGAAAAAAUUUAGCAGGGCAUGGUGGCAUGCACCUGUAAUCCUAGAAAGUAUGUAUGAGAAUGCUAAUGUUCUCAGAAAAGAGAGAAAGACAUGAGAGACUUGGCACAUUUUAUUUUAAUAAUUUUUUUUUUUUUUGAGACAAGGUCUUUCUCUCACCCAGGCUGGGGUGCAGUGGCAUGAUCCCAGCUCACUGAAUCCUUGACUUCGACCUGUAGUUCCCAAGUAGCUGAGACAACAGGCACGUACCACCACACCUGACUAAUUUUUGUAUUUUCUGUACAGGCGGAGUUUCGCCAUGUUGCCCAGACUGGUCUUGAACUUCUGGGCUCGGGCAAUCUGCCCGCCUCAGCCUCCCAAAGUGCUGGGAUUGCAGACUUGGGCCACCACACUCAGCCAAUCAUUUUAUUUUGAAAUAAUGGUAGAGUCACAGGAAGUUGUAAAAAAAAUAUAUAUAUAUACAGGGAGGUGCUAGGCACCCAUCCUCCAUCCUCUCCCAAUGUGGCAUCUUGCAUAACUACGUUACAACAUCAAUACCAUGAAACAGACAUUGUUAACUACCACUGUGGUCAAGG
rnacentral:lncRNA from 10 species